AAAUUGAAGAGUUUGAUCAUGGCUCAGAUUGAACGCUGGCGGCAGGCCUAACACAUGCAAGUCGAACGGUAACAGGAAGCAGCUUGCUGCUUUGCUGACGAGUGGCGGACGGGUGAGUAAUGUCUGGGAAACUGCCUGAUGGAGGGGGAUAACUACUGGAAACGGUGGCUAAUACCGCAUAACGUCGCAAGACCAAAGAGGGGGACCUUCGGGCCUCUUGCCAUCAGAUGUGCCCAGAUGGGAUUAGCUUGUUGGUGAGGUAACGGCUCACCAAGGCGACGAUCCCUAGCUGGUCUGAGAGGAUGACCAGCCACACUGGAACUGAGACACGGUCCAGACUCCUACGGGAGGCAGCAGUGGGGAAUAUUGCACAAUGGGCGCAAGCCUGAUGCAGCCAUGCCGCGUGUAUGAAGAAGGCCUUCGGGUUGUAAAGUACUUUCAGCGGGGAGGAAGGUGUUGUGGUUAAUAACCGCAGCAAUUGACGUUACCCGCAGAAGAAGCACCGGCUAACUCCGUGCCAGCAGCCGCGGUAAUACGGAGGGUGCAAGCGUUAAUCGGAAUUACUGGGCGUAAAGCGCACGCAGGCGGUCUGUCAAGUCGGAUGUGAAAUCCCCGGGCUCAACCUGGGAACUGCAUUCGAAACUGGCAGGCUUGAGUCUUGUAGAGGGGGGUAGAAUUCCAGGUGUAGCGGUGAAAUGCGUAGAGAUCUGGAGGAAUACCGGUGGCGAAGGCGGCCCCCUGGACAAAGACUGACGCUCAGGUGCGAAAGCGUGGGGAGCAAACAGGAUUAGAUACCCUGGUAGUCCACGCCGUAAACGAUGUCUACUUGGAGGUUGUGCCCUUGAGGCGUGGCUUCCGGAGCUAACGCGUUAAGUAGACCGCCUGGGGAGUACGGCCGCAAGGUUAAAACUCAAAUGAAUUGACGGGGGCCCGCACAAGCGGUGGAGCAUGUGGUUUAAUUCGAUGCAACGCGAAGAACCUUACCUGGUCUUGACAUCCACGGAAGAAUCCAGAGAUGGAUUGGUGCCUUCGGGAACCGUGAGACAGGUGCUGCAUGGCUGUCGUCAGCUCGUGUUGUGAAAUGUUGGGUUAAGUCCCGCAACGAGCGCAACCCUUAUCCUUUGUUGCCAGCGGUCCGGCCGGGAACUCAAAGGAGACUGCCAGUGAUAAACUGGAGGAAGGUGGGGAUGACGUCAAGUCAUCAUGGCCCUUACGACCAGGGCUACACACGUGCUACAAUGGCGCAUACAAAGAGAAGCGACCUCGCGAGAGCAAGCGGACCUCAUAAAGUGCGUCGUAGUCCGGAUUGGAGUCUGCAACUCGACUCCAUGAAGUCGGAAUCGCUAGUAAUCGUGGAUCAGAAUGCCACGGUGAAUACGUUCCCGGGCCUUGUACACACCGCCCGUCACACCAUGGGAGUGGGUUGCAAAAGAAGUAGGUAGCUUAACCUUCGGGAGGGCGCUUACCACUUUGUGAUUCAUGACUGGGGUGAAGUCGUAACAAGGUAACCGUAGGGGAACCUGCGGUUGGAUCACCUCCUUA
rnacentral:rRNA from 1 species